AUGAAGCAUGCAGGCCUGGGUGAAGGAAUACCUCCUGACAACUCCGGGAAUGAUGGCUAUGCUAAUAAUGGGUAUAGUGCCCGUGAAGAAGAAAAUGAGACACUCACUGAAAAUCUGAGAAGCAAAGUAACUGCUAUAAAAUCUUUUUCCAUUGAAAUAGGCCAUGAAGUUAAAACCCAAAAUAAAUUAUUAGCUGUAAUGGAUUCACAAUUUGAUUCUACAACUGGAUUUCUAGGCUUCUUUACAAGCCUCUAUGUAAAGCACAGGCUGGUGAGGGCCCCAGGAAGAGCAGCACCGCCCUCGGCACAGGCCCCUACUCCAAGUCCUGUGCAGGAGCAGGUCUUGCCCAGCGCAGCAGCUCUGCACCUCUGUGGCACCGCUCUGCCAAGAGGGAAGGUGCAGGCCCUGCAGCCCAUCGCCUUGGAUCUGAAGACCAGCCCUGUGGGGCUGCUAAGUCAUGAAACUGGCCUCAUGGAGAUUUCAUAA
rnacentral:lncRNA from 1 species